rnacentral:lncRNA from 1 species
AGCAGGACCAAGUAUCUUCCCUGACAGAUUUUUGCCCUAGAUCCCUAAAUGGCCCUCUCAAGGACUGAACCUACAACUCUGGGUUUAGCAGGCCAAUGCUCAAACUACUGAGCUAUCCCUCCCCCUGUUAAGCACACACUUAAGUCUCUUUGGGACUUACCCAGGACUUUGCAGUUUUAAGUGAGUAAAACUAGAUUAAUUAAGAGGGGAAAUUUCAUUCAGACUGUUUGAGAUUCUUGUUUGGUUUUUUGUCAGCACCCAUCAAAUGCCUGAGAAACACUUUGGAGAAAGGCUCUUUUUGCUAAAAAUUCAACACCCAAGACCCUCUGCAGGAGAUGAGCCCAGUGAAUUCCCCAACAUAACCAAGGAAAACUAGAUGUGAAGCUCUGGCUAUCACUGAGAGGCAACAAGCAGAAUUAAAAAAAAAGGGCUCAAGGAGUUUAUCUAAAGAGCUGUCACUACAAAGGCGAAGAAGGACGAGGGUCGCCGAAUAGGACGGCAACAGCUGCCCCCAUAUUAGAAUGGAGACACAGCACAGUCAACGCCAGAAAAAUAAGCAGGGAGGUCACACAAACAAGAACACCCAGUGGAGUUCAUUUAAUCCCAGACAAACAACCACCCAACAAGCCAGCCAGCCCCUGGAGACUCACAGAGCUGAUGGUGAUAAUUAACCACGAGCCAGGAGUCUGAGGAGCUGAGUGAUCACCCGAGAAGAAGGCACCUGAGGUUUGGAGAGAGACUCUGGUGCCAUGAAAACAAAGGAUAUGAAGGUCUAGUUUUCUAAAACAGUCAAUGCCAGCAGCCCUGCACUCGUGAGUAACAAACAGCCCAAUGCUUCUGAGCUACCCUACAAUAACAAGCCAGCAUGAGCAGUCCAGUGCUUCUUAACAGCCGUACAAUCCCAAGCACCAAUUCCUGCAUGAGAAGACAUGCAUGCAGGGGAACACAGCUGGAAGCGUGUCCAUGUGUGGCUGUACAGGAAGACUCACAACUCCACUGCGGAUCUGGCUCAAUGUGCUACAGGUAACCACACCAGAGAUGAUGGGAUUGCCACGAAGACAAGAUUCCCUUCGGAAUGAUACAGUCUAGGCUGAAUAUCAGGAAAACCACCUGGCAGUGAGAUCUUGGUGGGUGUGACGUCAUCUCAAGAAAAGGAGCCACAACCAC